rnacentral:tRNA from 1 species
GCCUGGGUGGCUCAGUCGGUUGAGCGUCUGACUUCGGCUCAGGUCAUGAUCUCGCGGUGCGGGGUUUCAAGCCCCACUCCGGGCU